rnacentral:rRNA from 1 species
GACGGAGGAUGCAAGUGUUAUCCGGAAUCACUGGGCGUAAAGCGUCUGUAGGUGGUUUAAUAAGUCAACUGUUAAAUCUUGAGGCUCAACCUCAAAAUCGCAGUCGAAACUAUUAGGCUAGAGUAUAGUAGGGGUAAAGGGAAUUUCCAGUGGAGCGGUGAAAUGCGUAGAUAUCGGGAGGAACACCAGUGGCGAAGGCGAUCACCUGGGGUUGUUCUGACGCUGAGGAGCGAAAGCUAGGGGAGCAAACGGG